GACGAACGCUGGCGGCGUGCUUAACACAUGCAAGUCGAACGGUAAGGCCCUUCGGGGUACACGAGUGGCGAACGGGUGAGUAACACGUGGGUGAUCUGCCCUGCACUUUGGGAUAAGCCUGGGAAACUGGGUCUAAUACCGAAUACACCUUGCUGGCUGCAUGGCCUGGUGGGGGAAAGCUUUUGCGGUGUGGGAUGGGCCCGCGGCCUAUCAGCUUGUUGGUGGGGUGAUGGCCUACCAAGGCGACGACGGGUAGCCGGCCUGAGAGGGUGUCCGGCCACACUGGGACUGAGAUACGGCCCAGACUCCUACGGGAGGCAGCAGUGGGGAAUAUUGCACAAUGGGCGCAAGCCUGAUGCAGCGACGCCGCGUGGGGGAUGACGGCCUUCGGGUUGUAAACCUCUUUCAGUACAGACGAAGCGUAAGUGACGGUAUGUACAGAAGAAGCACCGGCCAACUACGUGCCAGCAGCCGCGGUAAUACGUAGGGUGCGAGCGUUGUCCGGAAUUACUGGGCGUAAAGAGCUCGUAGGUGGUUUGUCGCGUUGUUCGUGAAAACCGGAGGCUCAACCUCUGGCGUGCGGGCGAUACGGGCAGACUUGAGUACUGCAGGGGAGACUGGAAUUCCUGGUGUAGCGGUGGAAUGCGCAGAUAUCAGGAGGAACACCGGUGGCGAAGGCGGGUCUCUGGGCAGUAACUGACGCUGA
rnacentral:rRNA from 1 species